rnacentral:rRNA from 1 species
UUACGGAAGGCAGCAGUGGGGAAUAUUGGACAAUGGGGGAAACCCUGAUCCAGCAAUGCCGCGUGGGUGAUGAAGGCCUUCGGGUUGUAAAGCCCUUUUGGCGGGGACGAUGAUGACGGUACCCGCAGAAGAAGCCCCGGCUAACUUCGUGCCAGCAGCCGCGGUAAUACGAAGGGGGCUAGCGUUGUUCGGAAUUACUGGGCGUAAAGGGCGCGUAGGCGGCCUCGUCCGUCCGGCGUGAAAUGCCUGGGCUCAACCCAGGAAUUGCGCUCGAUACAGCGAGGCUAGAGUGUGGGAGAGGUUGGUGGAAUUCCCAGUGUAGAGGUGAAAUUCGUAGAUAUUGGGAAGAACACCGGUGGCGAAGGCGGCCAACUGGACCACAACUGACGCUGAGGCGCGAAAGCGUGGGGAGCAAACAGGAUUAGAUACCCCUGUAGUCG